AAGGAGUGAUUGUUGUUGAGUGCAUUUUCGAUUCUCUCCUCCAUUUAUUUGCCAAGAGCCUGGAACUGCCUUUCGAUAUCAAGAUCUCGGACAGUGCAAGCCUCGGAAUACUGCGAAGAAUGAUGGUCAGGGGUUGAAUCAUGCCCCAAUCGUGGAUUGGGAGAUCUUCGUCUGGCCGACUGAUGGCUCUGAUGAGUGUGUCUCCUCUCUGAGCUUUGAGGAGGCACAUGUGGCUCUGGCUAUGGUGGUGGCUGAGGAGUCGAGUGUGGAACCGAAUUUAGUGGGCGCACCAUCAUGGGAGCCGUCGAUGGUGCCGUCGAGAGGGCCACCGGUUGCACCGUUGAAGAAGGUGCAGAGUAGCCUGAAUAGGUUGCGGCAUUGUUGGGGAAUGUGCCAGAAUAGUUUGAACAGUCUGAACGGUGGUCGUUAAGUUUUGGACCU
rnacentral:lncRNA from 1 species